rnacentral:rRNA from 1 species
GACGGAGGGUGCAAGCGUUGUUCGGAAUCACUGGGCGUAAAGCGCGUGUAGGCGGUUUGGUAAGUCGAGUGUGAAAGCCCAAGGCUCAACCUUGGAAGUGCACUCGAAACUGUCAGGCUUGAGUACGGGAGAGGGAAGUGGAAUUCCUGGUGUAGAGGUGAAAUUCGUAGAUAUCAGGAGGAACACCGGUGGCGAAGGCGGCUUCCUGGACCGAUACUGACGCUGAGACGCGAAAGCGUGGGGAGCAAACAGG